AGUAGUCAUAUGCUGUCUCAAAGAUUAAGCCAUGCAUGUCUCAGUACAAGCCAAAUUAAGGUGAAACCGCGAAAGGCUCAUUAAAUCAGUUAUGGUUCCUUAGAUCGUACCCACAUUUACUUGGAUAACUGUGGUAAUUCUAGAGCUAAUACAUGCAAACAGAGCUCCGACCGGAGACGGAAGGAGCGCUUUUAUUAGAUCAAAACCAAUCGGCGGCGGGUUCGCCCGUUCGUCGUACAACUUGGUGAAUCUGAAUAACUUUCUGCUGAUCGCAUGGUCUCGCACCGGCGACGCAUCUUUCAAAUGUCUGCCUUAUCAACUGUCGAUGGUAGGUUCUGCGCCUACCAUGGUUGUAACGGGUAACGGGGAAUCAGGGUUCGAUUCCGGAGAGGGAGCCUGAGAAACGGCUACCACAUCCAAGGAAGGCAGCAGGCGCGCAAAUUACCCACUCCCGGCACGGGGAGGUAGUGACGAAAAAUAACGAUACGGGACUCAUCCGAGGCCCCGUAAUCGGAAUGAGUACACUCUAAACCCUUUAACGAGGAUCAAUUGGAGGGCAAGUCUGGUGCCAGCAGCCGCCGUAAUUCCAGCUCCAAUAGC
rnacentral:rRNA from 1 species